UACGUAGGGAGCAAGCGUUGUCCGGAAUCAUUGGGCGUAAAGCGCGCGUAGGUGGCCUCAUAAGUCCGCUGUGAAAGUCAAAGGCUCAACCUUUGAAAGCCGGUGGAUACUGUGAGGCUAGAGUACGGAAGAGGCGAGUGGAAUUCCUGGUGUAGCGGUGAAAUGCGCAGAUAUCAGGAGGAACACCGGUGGCGAAGGCGGAUCUCUGGGCCGUAACUGACGCUGAGGAGCGAAAGCAUGGGGAGCGAACAGG
rnacentral:rRNA from 1 species